rnacentral:rRNA from 1 species
UACGUAGGGGGCAAGCGUUGUCCGGAUUUAUUGGGCGUAAAGAGCGUGUAGGCGGCUAGAUAGGUCCGUUGUGAAAACUCGAGGCUCAACCUCGAGACGUCGAUGGAAACCAUCUGGCUAGAGUCCGAAGAGGAGAGUGGAGUCUCGGUGUAGCGGUGAAAUGCGCAGAUAUCAGGAAGAACACCCGUGGCGAAGGCGGCUCUCUGGUACGUGACUGACGCUGAGACGCGAAAGCGUGGGGAGCAAACAGG